rnacentral:tRNA from 2 species
GCGAAAGUGGCGGAAUUGGUAGACGCACUGGAUUCAGGUUCCAGCGGGUAAAACCGUGGGGGUUCGAGUCCCCCCUUUCGCA